rnacentral:rRNA from 1 species
CCUACGGGAGGCAGCAGUGGGGAAUUUUGGACAAUGGGCGCAAGCCUGAUCCAGCAAUGCCGCGUGAGUGAAGAAGGCCUUCGGGUUGUAAAGCUCUUUCAGUUGAGAAGAAAAAGUCGUGACUAAUAAUCAUGAUUCAUGACGGUAUCAACAGAAGAAGCACCGGCUAACUACGUGCCAGCAGCCGCGGUAAUACGUAGGGUGCAAGCGUUAAUCGGAAUUACUGGGCGUAAAGGGUGCGCAGGCGGUUCUGUAAGUCAGAUGUGAAAUCCCCGGGCUUAACCUGGGAACUGCGUUUGAAACUGCAGAGCUAGAGUGCGGCAGAGGGAGGUGGAAUUCCAUGUGUAGCAGUGAAAUGCGUAGAGAUAUGGAAGAACAUCGAUGGCGAAGGCAACCUCCUGGGCUAGCACUGACGCUCAUGCACGAAAGCGUGGGGAGCAAACAGGAUUAGAUACCCCAGUAGUC